UCCAGAAUCUCCUUCCGGAGCAUUGCAUUGUAGACGACAGGAAAGGGUUAUGUACAGUUGUUUACGAAAGUUAAAUCAGGAAGGCUGGCUAGUGGUCCUUUACGGAACAACAGUAAAGACAUGGGGAACCGGACCUCCAUCCGGAUGAGUUACCCGGAGGGAUGCCCCAAGUUCUGGGAGUUUGUUGACCCUGAGUUGCAGUUUGCGGCAGUGGUCUACAAGGCUGAGACUUCAAGUGGAUCAGAGCAAUGAUCAACAGACAGAGAGUAUUUUUUGUUUCAGUCACUUUGGGACUGGCUGUUUUCCUGGCAGAAGGUGCCAGAGGAAAAGGAUACCAGUAGACUGAUCAAAGUUUCGGAUCUUGAAUCUGGAGAUCAUCAGACAGAUGGCGAUGGAACUGUUGGACGUCUCUAGGGCUGGAACCAGUGUUUUUUUGGAACAGAUGGCCAGGGGAGAGCUGGGGAAUGUGCCAGCACUGUGCUGGGGAAUGUGCCAAUUCCUGCAGAGAGUGAGUUCUCUGGGCUUCAGCUCGCGUGCCUUCACCCUGCCCUCUGCCCUGAGUGGCGCCAGCAGGACUUCCCAACUAGAGUUACGAACAUCUGGUGUCUGGGACUGACAGGGGAAAAAAAGCAGCUCAGCUUGUUUCCUUGUGAAUGCUCUUAUGCUAAGGAAACACAUUAGCUCACAGUGAGGGAGAGAGAGCUAGAGAGAGCCGAGCACUAGGAGUGCAGGGAAAAGUUAUGUGCAUGUAACUAUGUAGGAUAUGUAAUCUAUGAACAAACACCUAAUUCCUCAUUGUAUUAUUAUUUUCUUUAUUAAGAAAAGUUUUCAAAUAUUUUCAACAACCGGUUUA